GACUAGAAUAGGUCAGAGGGGGGUAGAAUUCCAUGUGUAGCAGUGAAAUGCGUAGAGAUGUGGAGGAAUACCAAUGGCGAAGGCAGCCCCCUGGGAUCAUAUUGACGCUCAUGCACGAAAGCGUGGGAGCAAACAGGACUAGAUACCCUGGUAGUCCACGCCCUAAACGAUGUCAACUAGUUGUUGGUGGAGUAAAAUCCAUGAGUAACGUAGCUAACGCGUGAAGUUGACCGCCUGGGGCGUACGGUCGCAAGAUUAAAACUCAAAUGAAUUGACGGGGGCCCGCACAAGCGGUGGAUUAUGUGGAUUAAUUCGAUGCAACGCGAAAAACCUUACCUGGCCUUGACAUGUACGGAACUUUCCAGAGAUGGAUUGGUGCCUUCGGGAACCGUAGCACAGGUGCUGCAUGGCUGUCGUCAGCUCGUGUCGUGAGAUGUUGGGUUAAGUCCCGCAACGAGCGCAACCCUUGCCAAUAAUUGCCAUCAUUUAGUUGGGCACUUUAUUGGGACUGCCGGUGACGAACCGGAGGAAGGUGGGGAUGACGUCAAGUCCUCAUGGCCCUUAUGGCCAGGGCUUCACACGUAAUACAAUGGUCGGUACAGAGGGUCGCCAACCCGCGAGGGGGAGCAAAUCCCAGAAAGCCGAUCGUAGUCCGGAUUGUUCUCUGCAACUCGAGAGCAUGAAGUCGGAAUCGCUAGUAAUCGCGGAUCAGAAUGUCGCGGCGAAUACGUUCCCGGGCCUUGUACACACCGCCCGUCACACCAUGGGAGUGGGUUUUACCAGAAGUAGGUAGUCUAACCUUCGGGGGGACGCUUACCACGGUAGUAUUCAUGACUGGGGUG
rnacentral:rRNA from 1 species